AUUGAACGCUGGCGGCAGGCCUAACACAUGCAAGUCGAACGAGUGGCGGACGGGUGAGUAAUGUCUGGGAAACUGCCCGAUGGAGGGGGAUAACUACUGGAAACGGUAGCUAAUACCGCAUACCAUCGGAUGUGCCCAGAUGGGAUUAGCUAGUAGGUGGGGUAACGGCUCACCUAGGCGACGAUCCCUAGCUGGUCUGAGAGGAUGACCAGCAAAACUGGAACGGGGACACGGUCCAGACUCCUCGGGGAGGAAGCAGAGGGGAACUUUGCACAAGGGGCGAAAGCCGGCUGCAGCCAUGCCGCGUGGAUGAAGAAGGCCUUCGGGUUUUAAAGUACUUUCAGCGAGGAGGCGUUACUCGCAGAAGAAGCACCGGCUAACUCCGUGCCAGCAGCCGCGGUAAUAC
rnacentral:rRNA from 1 species